CCUCCCCGCCGCCCUCUCUCUCCCCCCGCUGCCGCCUCCCCUCCCCUUCUCACGCCCCUCCGGCUCUCUCUCUCGCAGAUCUGGAGCUGGGCCGCCGCGCCAGGGCGGAGCCAGGCCGACGCCGCGGGCUGACGCUGCCGGGGUGGAGCGGGGCCGUCUCGUCGGGUCGACACAGCCGGGGUGGAAUGGCCGUGGCCGUCGCCACGGGUCGAUGCGGCCGGAGCGUAGCGGGGUCCCGCGGCUGGGGCGGAGCCAGUCUGCCGCCGCGGUGCCUCCAUCUCCGACGAGGCAGCUGCUCUCAACAAGCCCCACGACCAUAGCCCCAAGCCGGCACCGGCGAGAAACACCGGCGGCAAGGCGGCCGUCAAUCCCCUCACCGCCCGCGUCCCCGGCAGUCGCACUCGCUGCGCCAUCCUAUCCGCCGCGUCCGCUCCCUCGAGCUCUCCGACCCGCCGCGCCCGUCCCCGCUCGUAACGAUGCCGAUGCCGCCGUCCUGUUCCACCUCCAAAUCGAGCUGCAGGAGCGGGCCCGGGAAGCGGCGGAGAAGUGGAAAUCCCGGGUGGUGCCGUGGGCGGCGGCGCGGGACGAGGGCCUCAAGGUCGCGCUGCGGCGGGAGAAGAAGACGAGGGAGCCACGCGCAGAGACGGAGCUGGCGGCUGGCGAGCUGGACCGGCUGCCCAAACCUCCGCGUCCUCCCUUUCGCCGCCGCCGCAGCCCUUGGCCCCUUGCUUCUCACCACGUCCAUGGCUCCAUGGGAUGUGGAUCUGCGCAUAUGGUAAUCGACUGGUUUAAUGCGCAAGAAACAGGCAAGUAAUUUCCCCUAAACCCCAAAUCCGUGAGAUUUAUCAUUGGUUUUCAGAGGGUGCUCGGUUGUAGAUGUGCUUUUGCAAACAAUCAAGUGAUUUCCGCAAAUCCCCGACCCCUUAUCACGCCACAAAUGAUUCCACAUAAUCCCUAUCCUUCUCUCCAUUUUUUUUGCCACAGGAUCUCGUGACAUCCCUGGGCAGUUAUGCCCAUCUCACUUUUCUUUCUCAAAUGUGCAUUGUAGGUCUGGAUCUGUGCCAUGCUACAUUUCUUUAUCCCUGAACUUAUGAUGGUGCUCCUCUGAUCCAUUUAUUAUGUAUAAUAUCUGGUUUUCUGCACUUUUUUUAUUAUUUUGCACUGCAGCUACAAUCCAUCCGUCUGUUUUUUUUACUGAUCUGAGGCAUUUUGCAUAUGCAGUGAUGAUCUCUCUACUCUUUUCUUACUCACUUUGCCAUAUGCAGUGAUGACAUUCAUUUUCCAUGUACUGAACUGACCCAUUUGAACUUAAGCUUGAGAAGGGGCAGAGUACUAGGAUGGGCAUCAUGAACUGCGGUUGAUAGAUAACCUGAAUUACCUUCAACCAAGUCGGCUACUUUCCUUCCGAGUGUUGGACAUUUUUUUCUUUUGACCAUAGUGCAGCAAUCUAAUUAAUGAAUGAAAUAUGGAUAAAUUUGAUAGAUAACCUGAAUUACCUUCAACCAAGAAGUGUCAAUAUGUGUUUAUUUUCAGUAAAAGGCUAAAGUUUUUGUUGUUAUGCCUUUCUCGACGAAGUGCUAAAUUCUGUCCCUAUCUUCAGUUCCUGAUUUUAUAAUUACGUUUACUUGGGAUAUAAGGCUCUGCUGUUGUGAGUUGCUAAAUAUUCCAACCACUUUCACCUGCAGGUGUAACUUCCACAGAAGGAUUCUCUUGAUGAUGGCUUAUGCACACACCAUUGUUUUCAAGUUCCUGUGUAGAUUGGGAAAAGCUGAUGAGCGUUGUGCACGCCUUGAGCUUGGAUGCCGCUACAGCGCGGUCCGGCCGACGCUGGUGCUUGGGCAGGUUGAACCAUAAAAGUACUACUUUUACUUUUAGGUCUUAACCUUUCAUUUCUCAGAAGUUGCCGUUGAUCGAGGGAACUGAACUGCUGUCUUCUGUGCCAGCAUGGUGGCUGUGUUCUCUUUCGGGACUAUGCCUUUGGGGACCUUGCACAGGUUUAUUCUCUUAUGUGUUUCUUGAGAUCUUGAUAUUAGAAUUUUGUGACUUCGAAAAAUCCUAUUCUUCUUUUGCUCUUGGCUGUGUAUAUUUGUAUAGCAUUCAGAAUCACGUAUUGAAGGAGAAUGUUUGGAAAUAGUCAAAAGUAUAAGCCUGCUUAUUGCUAUGUUAUUUUCAGAUGGACUUGUUAUUAACAUGCUUAAAACACAGGAGCUAGCUUACUUUUUAUUUAAAACCAUACCCCUAUAAUUGAAUUCUCAUUCUAUGUCCCCAUUUCCUAUAAUCCUACCAAAGUGUCCGUUAUAUGCAGCUUGCCUCUUUUAUUUUGGUUUUCUUUCUCCCCCUUCGUGUAACCUAUGCCUUCCCUUGGGUAAUCAUACAUUCAUUAAAAAAAUCUUUGAUGCAUCUAUUUUCAGAUGAAUAUCUGAUUGACUUAUUCUCAAAAUGUGGAUUUACUCUUGAGGAAAUAUGUGUGCACAACAAGCAAUUUGAAAACCAUUCACUUGACUUGGUGAUGAACAGGUGGUUUCUUUUUUUGCCAGAAUUGCUAAUGAUUUUUACUAUAUAUCUUUACAGUGAACUUAUAGAGAAAUGAGUUAGCUGUAUUCUUCACUCCAAACACUAUCUCAGUAACAUUUUCAAAAUAGAAAGUUCAGUGACCAGAGUUACUGAUAGUAUAUGCAUUUCAGUAUGAUAAAUUUGAAUUUUCUGAGCACCGUGUACGUUCUAAAAAUGCACGAUUCUUUAAUUUUAUUUUACUUAGCUCUUUGCUUUCCUCUAUCAUCAAUAUGCAUUAUAUUAAGUUGUACAUGGCAUAAAAGAUUGAUGAAAUCAAGUAUCUAUUAAUGUAUUGUGCUGGAUCCUAGCUUGCUUACAUCUAAUGAUUUAAAUAGGCCAAGUACCCUUCAAUUGAUAGUAGAUAGCAUGUACUUGGGUUCUUUGUUGUCCUGCAUUUUCCAUUCUUUUUCAUGCGCCAUUGUUUUUUUUUCUCGAACAGCGCAGGAGGAUUCAUGCGCCAUUGUUAUUUUUCUUAUAUUAUAUUCACAGGCCGGUGAUGCCAUCAGGUUGUUGAACACCCGGCGAUUCCUUGCUUUUAAGACAGCGGUGGAGUCACCAGUAUGGCGAGACGUGGCGGCAGCCCAUGAUCCAUGCUGUGUAUAUGAGGACCGCUGCUUUGGGCCUUCGUAACGCCUUUGGUAAACCAGCAAGCGAGGUGUUCCACCAGUCUUCUAGCUCCAGGUCUGUAUUUGGAUGUUGAAUCAGACCACCAUACCAUAAAGAAUUUCUGUAGGUGUAUAAAUUAGUGACAUUUAGGUGCACCUCCAAACCUUUUUAAUUCAAAUUUAUACUACUUCUCCAAAAUAAGGUUCUAUUUUCGAAAAAUAGUACAAAUAUUUGAAUCAAAGAAGGUUGGAGGUGCACCUAUUGCACCCGUAAAUUUCUAUACCGCACCUCAUGUGCAAAACUGCAGUGAAGAAUAUGAUGUUUUCCUGUC